GUUCAAAAGAGCUUCAUAGAGUGCCCUGAGCCAACACAGUAACAGGAGGAAGGGGACUUGGACUUAGAAAGGCACCAACAAGGGCAAUUUCCCGUGUUCUCAGUGAGAGAGAAUGUUGACACACAUACAUUUCCCUGUAAUUAGGGAAGGAAUCAAACGGCAUAUGUUCCUGCGUGGUUUCCAUGGCUGCAUCCUAUUCUCUGUCUGCAUCUUGGUGCAUCAUGGAAAGUGUCAUUUACUAGCAACUUGGAGUCACCUACUAACAGGCUUUGAGCAAAUGGAACCCGAGGGUGCUCAGUGAAAGGACUCCGCAGGUGGAAAAGGGGAACUUCUGCAGUGGCCCACGCAGGUGAUGAAGGUCA